CAUGUUGGGAUGAUGGAGAAUGCAGAAUGGUACAUGUUGGGGACGAUGGAAAAUGAAGAACAGGGAGGGAGAAGGGGUUUGGGGACAUUUUUGACAUUUCACAAUUGAAAAUUAAGAAAAAAUCGCAGUAGCAGCGCGUGAGAGACACGAUUUGCUCUCAGGGGUCACAAUGCCUUGACUUUGUUUACACAGGGGGGUAUGAGCGAAUUAUUUUUUGACAGGGGGGUAUUUGACAAUUAGAGAUUUCACA
rnacentral:lncRNA from 1 species